GGCCGCAUAGUGUAGUGGUUGUAAGUUUGUUCAAACCCGCUUGAAAUAGUUCUACACUAACAAAAACUAUAGAGCACAUUAGAUUCUGACAAUAUAAUUGUGUAGUAUUCUGGGGACACAGGUUCGAACCCUGUUGCGGCCU